rnacentral:rRNA from 1 species
GAAUUAUUGGGCGUAAAGGGCUCGCAGGCGGUUUCUUAAGUCUGAUGUGAAAGCCCCCGGCUCAACCGGGGAGGGUCAUUGGAAACUGGGGAACUUGAGUGCAGAAGAGGAGAGUGGAAUUCCACGUGUAGCGGUGAAAUGCGUAGAGAUGUGGAGGAACACCAGUGGCGAAGGCGACUCUCUGGUCUGUAACUGACGCUGAGGAGCGAAAGCGUGGGGAGCGAACAGGAUUAGAUACCCUGGUAGUCCACGCCGUAAACGAUGAGUGCUAAGUGUUAGGGGGUUUCCGCCCCUUAGUGCUGCAGCUAACGCAUUAAGCACUCCGCCUGGGGAGUACGGUCGCAAGACUGAAACUCAAAGGAAUUGACGGGGGCCCGCACAAGCGGUGGAGCAUGUGGUUUAAUUCGAAGCAACGCGAAAACCUUACCAGGUCUUGAC